GAGGGGGGCAAGGGUAGACACAUACAGGAAAUGCAGGCUUGUUUAUUGGGCGUCAUCUUGUUAAGGAGAGGCACAAUCAGUGUAGUCUGUGAAGAGAUUUCCUAACUGGAGAUUAAUUCUGUGCACAUGCAAAAGUGAUGAACUGGCAGAAAACGCCCCACACACUAAAUAUCAUUCAUUGAGUCCCCAUCUUCAAGAUCAGACGGGGAUCUGCAAAAGAUAUUGGGCUCUGUGAUAAGAUGCUGAAAGCAGAGUCUUCACAAAAGCCAGUUCAUCUGGACCAGCAGAUACCAGCGGAACCCAGAAGAGAGUGUUGGAAGUCCCUGCAGCUGGAAUUACAAGCAGUUGCGGGCCACCUGAUGUGUAUGUGGGGAACCAAAGUCCAGUCCUCUGAAAGAGUAACAAGCAUUCUUAACGUCUGAGUCGUGUCUCCAGCCACUGCUCUUCAUUCUGAAACUCAACCUUGGAGGAUACCCUGUGUGGCAAGCCUGGGAAUGUCUCACAGCUCCUCUGAACCUUUCUCACCACUGAGCCCAAAAUAAGAGACUCUUCCCGGAUUCUGUAUUGAAAAGUCAUGCCUUUAUCAUGAGGUACUACAAGUCCUGACAAAAUUAAGCAUGUAGGUUUCAAGUUUGCUGGAAAAAAAGUCUCGUUUGUUGAUAAAACAGUAGAAAAUGGCACCUUCCCAUUCUUGUCCUCAAGAAUUCAUCUUGAGUCAUUUAACUUCAGCAAGGAGCAGUGUAGGGGUUGAGGCUGAACAGAUAAGAACAACACAAAAAGAAAAAGGCAGCCGCCAGAACUGUUUCCUGCAGAGUGGCCUCAUGGGAAUCUCCUAUGUCUAUGACAGGUGUAAUGACUAGAUCCCGUCUCAGACCCAGUCCAGUUCUCUAUGAUUCCUCAGCAAAGGGCCUAGGAACUCCACAUUUCUCUUCUUGGUGCUUGGGAUAGCCAUCAAUUACUCCACCCUUUGAGGAAUUCUUCUCUCCUGAAAACAACCUAUGGAAUGGAAUGGAAAGGACAGAAAGAGAUUAAAAAUUGAUGGAUUACCUGUUAACUAAAAUCAUGAAUUGUGACAAAGCUUUCCCAACCUGCUAAACUAUCAAAAUACUUAGCAGUGUCUUCCCUAGGAAUAAAAUGAGCCUAAAUUUCUAAGAGCAAAAACUUUCAUUCCCACACCCCAAA